rnacentral:rRNA from 1 species
AAAACUCAAAGGGCUUGGCGGUGUUUUAGACCACUCAGGGGAGCCUGUCUCAUAAUCGAUGAUCCACGUUCAACCUGACCUUCUUUGGCGGUCAGCUUGUAUACCGUCGUCGUCAGGUAACUUCUAAAAAACUAAAAGUUAGCGAAAGAAUUUGUAAAUUCCAAUGUCAGAUCAGGGUGCAGCUUAUAAAAAGGGGAGGAUGGGUUACAAUUAUAAAUCUUAAUUACGGAAGACCAUUAGAAUUAAUCGGCCUGAAGGAGGACUUGAAAGUAAUUUUAAAUAUACAAAUUGCAUGAAUAAGGCUCUGAAAUGUG